AGAAGAAGAAGAAGAUUCAGUUUUUGCAGAAGAACAUCUUCAGUAAAUCUACGGGAAGAAGGAACCACCGUACCUACUCAACAUAUCUACCGCCUAGCUAGAAAAGUUCCAAUCAACAAACCCAAAAUCAGAAUCUUCACAGCUCUAAGCAUAAACUCUUCUUCGAAUCAACGAACGAAUCAAGCAAAACAUCACUCGAAUUCGAAUGUUCAGAUUCGAACAAAUUUUCAAAAAAACGAAUCUUCAAGCUUGUAGAUUUCCCGAUCCAAUCCAGCAAAACAAGAGAAACGAUUUGAUUUUGAUUUCCUCCUCAAGCUUCGACCCGCCUUCUUAAAAUAUCCAAAAAGUCUCAAACUUGUCCUUCUUCUUCUUCUUUUUCUUCUAUCCUUGUUUGUUUCAAGUCCUCCUCCUUGUAUUCCUUUUUUUGUUUUGGUGAGUUUCUUAUUUGUUUUCUACGGUGGUGGCACAUUGUGUAAAUUCGAAUAGUGAAGAGGGCAUUUGUGUUGUAUUAUUCGAGCCGCCCAUAUGUGAGAGUGGAGAGAGAGAGAGAGAGAUAUGGUAGUUGAAGGAUCCAAGACAUUUCCAUUUUCUUCUUUUUAUCCAUUGGAUUCAGUUAAAAAUCUCAAACACUGUUUUUUCUUCUUCUUCUUUAA
rnacentral:lncRNA from 1 species